rnacentral:rRNA from 1 species
CUAACACAUGCAAGUCGAGCGGUAGAGAGAAGCUUGCUUCUCUUGAGAGCGGCGGACGGGUGAGUAACGCGUAGGAAUCUACCUGGUAGUGGGGGACAACAUUCGGAAACGGAUGCUAAUACCGCAUACGCCCUACGGGGGAAAGGAGGGGAUCUUCGGACCUUUCGCUAUCAGAUGAGCCUGCGUAGGAUUAGCUAGUUGGUGGGGUAAAGGCCCACCAAGGCGACGAUCCUUAGCUGGUCUGAGAGGAUGACCAGCCACACUGGGACUGAGACACGGCCCAGACUCCUACGGGAGGCAGCAGUGGGGAAUAUUGGACAAUGGGGGCAACCCUGAUCCAGCCAUGCCGCGUGUGUGAAGAAGGCCUUCGGGUUGUAAAGCACUUUCAGUGGUGAGGAAAGGGUAACCGCUAAUACCGGUUAUCUGUGACGUUAGCCACAGAAGAAGCACCGGCUAAUUCCGUGCCAGCAGCCGCGGUAAUACGGAAGGUGCGAGCGUUAAUCGGAAUAACUGGGCGUAAAGCGCGCGUAGGUGGUUGAGUCAGUCAGAUGUGAAAGCCCCGGGCUUAACCUGGGAACUGCACCUGAUACUGCUUGACUAGAGUACGGUAGAGGGCAGUGGAAUUUCCUGUGUAGCGGUGAAAUGCGUAGAUAUAGGAAGGAACACCAGUGGCGAAGGCGACUGCCUGGACUGAUACUGACACUGAGGUGCGAAAGCGUGGGUAGCAAACAGGAUUAGAUACCCUGGUA